AUUGAACGCUGACGGCAGGCUUAACACAUGCCAGUCGAACGAGUGGCGGACGGGUGAGUAAUGCUUGGGAAACUAGCUUAUGGAGGGGGAUAACUACUGGAAACUGAAGCUAAUACCGCGUACCAUAGGAUGAGCCCAAGAGGGAUUGGGUCGUUGUUGAGGUACAGGCUCACCAAGCCGACGAGCUCUAGCUGGUCUGAGAGGAUGACCAGGCACACGGGGACUGAUAAACGGCCCAGACUCUUACUGGAGGCAGCAGUGGGGAAUAGUGCGCAAUGGGGGCAACCUGACGCAGCAAUGCCGCGGGAAUGAAGAAGGCCUUCGGGUUGUAAAGUUCUUUCGGUAGCGAGGCGUUAACUACAGAAGAAGCACCGGCUAACUCCGUGCCAGCAGCCGCGGUAAUUC
rnacentral:rRNA from 1 species